GAGCCUGGAAUGCUCAGAACAGCGAUGCAUAUUAAUUGAGUCUGAAGGUCCUCAGCCUCUGCCAACUGAGAAAUGAAAUGUCUGUGGUUUGUCUCUCAGAGUCAGAAGAUAAAUAUGAGGACAAUGAUCAUGUGCUCGUCCCUACCUGGACAUCGAGACAGACGCUUGGGAAGUGACCACAGCCAUCUUCCUUCUGAGAGUCAUCUUCCUGGGAGCUGGUGAUGUAGGUGCCCUGUUCCUGUGACGCAGCAUCUCAACUGUCUGUGAGAAGUUCCUGGAUGAAACACUUGUGUCUAUGGAAUAAGUUAAGCUCAGUGCUCUCUCUGGUGCAGGUGGGCCUCCUCCAUACAGGUGAAAACAUAGAGGAAAGAGGCUAGCCCUCAAGAGAUGCUGUGGACCACUUUCUCCUCGGCCAGAAGCUGAAAUAAUUGCUCUUUUUUCCAGCCUUCCAUGUGGGGCUAAGACACUGACUCAUGUUGGGUCUCAGGACUUCUUCUCAGGAGAUCCUUGCUCCUGGAUCUAAGGCCUUCCCACUCUGUGUUCAGGCUCCUGGGUCUGCAGUGUACCAACCACAGAUCUCAGACUUCUAUGCCUCUA